ACACAAUCUUAAAAUCUUAGAAGGUUCUUUCUAAAUAUUUAUUUUGAUUUUUAAUCUAUAAAGAUAAUGGAAUGUGUUUAUUAGACUGAAUUUUAUCUUAUCCUCUUUCUCCCAAGUGUACUCUUAAUAGUUGUCAGUUUUCCCUCAGUGUUGGAUUUAAUUAAACAGGACUAAAAUACUUCUCAGUAAUACUACUCUGGCUAAAUAUCUGUCACUAAAUAGUUGUGGUUCUGACUGUAAGAAGCAGCUUAAUUACAAAAAUCUUAUU
rfam:Erinaceus europaeus cont1.446528, whole genome shotgun sequence.